GACGAACGCUGGCGGCGUGCUUAACACAUGCAAGUCGAACGGAAAGGCCCUGCUUGCAGGGUACUCGAGUGGCGAACGGGUGAGUAACACGUGGGUGAUCUGCCCUGCACUUCGGGAUAAGCCUGGGAAACUGGGUCUAAUACCGGAUAGGAGCCAUCUUUAGUGUGAUGGUUGGAAAGUUUUUUCGGUGUAGGAUGAGCUCGCGGCCUAUCAGCUUGUUGGUGGGGUAAUGGCCUACCAAGGCGGCGACGGGUAGCCGGCCUGAGAGGGUGGACGGCCACAUUGGGACUGAGAGUCGGCCCAGACCCCUACGGGAGGCAGCAGUGGGGAAGAUUGCACAAGGGGCGCCAGCCUGAUGCAGCGACGCCGCGUGGGGGAAGACGGCCUUCGGGUUGUAAACGCCGUUCGCUAGGGACGAAGCUUUCUGUGACGGUACCUAGAUAAGAAGCACCGGCUAACUACGUG
rnacentral:rRNA from 1 species